AUCGUAAACCUCUGUUGUGAAGGAAGAAUAACUUAAUAGUAAAUGAUCUAUGUUUGACGGUACUUUACCAGAAAGUCACGGCUAACUAUGUGCCAGCAGCCGCGGUAAUACAUAGGUGGCAAGCGUUAUCCGGAUUUAUUGGGCGUAAAGAGUGCACAGGUGGUUUAUCAAGUCAGUUGUKAAAUGCCRAGGCUCAACCUUGGCUCGCAAUUGAAACUGAUAGACUAGAAUAUCGGUGGGGGUAGUAGAAUUCCAUGUGUAGUGGUGGAAUACAUAAAUAUAUGGAGGAAUACCAGUGGCGAAGGCGGCUACCUGAACUGAUUAUUGACACUUAAGCACAAAAGCGGGGGGAGCAAAUAGGAUUAAAUACCCUAGUAGUCCACGCCGUAAACGAUCUAGACUAKACGUUGGGAUAACCCARUGUCACAGCUAACGCAUUAAGUCUAGCGCCUGGGUARUAUGCACGCAAGUGUGAAACUCAAAGGAAUUGACGGGGACCAGCACAAGUGGUGGAGCAUGUGGUUUAAUUCRAAGAUACGCGAAGAACCUUACCUACACUUGAAAUGCUUGGAWGCCUAUAGAGAUAUAKCGGAGGUCAACCARUGCACAGGUGGUGCAUGGUUGUCGUCAGCUCGUGUCGUGAGAUGUUCGGUUAAGUCCGGYAACGAGCGCAACCCCUAUCUUAUGUUACUAACAUUUAGUUGAGGACUCAUGAGAKACUGCCURGGYAACUAGGAGGAAGGUGGGGAUGACGUCAAAUCAUCAUGCCCCUUAUGUGUAGGGCUACACACGUGCUACAUGG
rnacentral:rRNA from 1 species